ACACACCGCCCGUCACACCACGAGAGUUUGUAACACCCGAAGUCGGUGAGGUAACCUUUUGGAGCCAGCCGCCUAAGGUGGGAUAGAUGAUUGGGGUGAAGUCGUAACAAGGUAGCCGUAUCGGAAGGUGCGGCUGGAUCACCUCCUUU
rnacentral:rRNA from 1 species